rnacentral:rRNA from 1 species
AUGGACUCCCUUUGCUGGACUGCUCCUUCGCCCUUCCUGCCGCCUGCCUGCCUGCCAGCAGAUGACGCCGCGGAGGUCAGCACCUCGGAGACCAGCAAGGGUGCCAUUGACAAGCCAAUGCAGCAUCAGCAUCAGCAGCUGCAGCCCACGCUUGCCUACUACACCACCCAGGGCUCGCACGUCUCACCCAUGUUCUUUCAGAUGAUUUCCCAGCUCACCUUCUCCCAGGAGCAGCAGCCAAUGCGCUUGAGUGGGGGCUGCAGCUCUGGGACUUCAAGGAGGAAAGGAAGACAUAAUUUCUUCUUGGAGAGAUUCGUUGUUCUAACUGCACAGUCAUGUCAUCAUCUGCUAAUAUUUUCUUUUUGCCCUGGUUUCAUUCAGAUCCAGUGUUGCACCAACUACAAGGUCAUGAUCCAUUCAACGCGAGCAAAACCCAGAACGAGAGAAGAUCCACGGCGUCGAAGGUGUAGGCACCAUGAAGGCGGUUUUCAUUUUGUCGUUGUCAUCCUCUGUCUGACCUAUGUUGUUGCGAUCGGAAACCAACUGUUUUUUGAGCUGCAUUCUGUUGCUGUGGCUUCCCCUUGCUGCUACAUUUCUCGGUACGAAAACGAUGAAUUUUUCCGUUCCGGCGAGGACGAAUCCGGUUUUGCGCUUGCACGAAAUGGAUACCGGCGGCAUAAGGGUUCCUCACGUGCCCGGGCAUUUGCAGAUGUAUUUUUAUCGUUCAUCGAGGAGCACUUGAGCUCCGGAGCAGAUACUCCACGUCCGUCCGUCGUAACCGAUCAUUUUUGUGAAGAGAGGAGGCAUUCAUUCAUGGAUGAAUGA